AUGCAAAAUAAAUCUAUCGUAUCUUUUGCUCUGGCUACUGUGUAUAGACCAGCAGGGCCAUAUACAGAAUUUCUAAAAGAAUUUGGAGAUUUCCUCUCAAACCUGUUGGUUACCGCUGAUAAAGCGCUAAUUUUCGGAGAUUUUAACAUUCACGUUGAUAAUACAAAUGAUGCAUUAGGACUUGCGUUUACUGACUUAUUGAACUGUUUUGGAGUAAAGCAAAAUAUCACCAGGCCUACUCAUCAUUUUAAUCAUACGCUAGAUUUAAUUAUAUCACAUGGAAUCGAUCUUACUGAUAUAGAUAUUGUACCUCAAAGUGAUGAUGUCACUGACCAUUUCCUUGUAUCGUGCAUUCUGCGUAUUGAUGAUAAUAACUAUAUGGCUUCGCGUUAUUGUCCGGGCAGAACUAUUGUUCCAUCCACCAAAGACAGAUUCGCAAAUAACCUGCCUGAUUUAUCUCAACUGCUCUGUGUACCCAUAAAUACACAUGAACUAGACGAAAUGACUGGCAACAUGGGCACUAUCUUCUCUUAUACUGUUGCCCCGAUCAAAUUGAAAAAGGUUAGAGAAAAACGUACUGUGGCAUGGUACAACAGUAAUACCCACUCUCCCAAGAAAGAAACUCGUAGUCUUGAGCGCAAAUGGAGAAAAACUAACUUGGAAGUUUUUAGAAUUGCGUGGAAAAACAGUAUGUCCAGCUAUAGACAGGCUCUAAAAACUGCCAGGGCCGAGCAUAUCCACAAACUCAUAGAAAACAACCAAAACAAUCCAAGGUUUUUAUUUAGCACAGUGGCUAGAUUAACAAAUAAUCAGACGCAACCUGAUCUAAAUAUUCCCUCACAGUUAAAUAGUAAUGACUUUAUGAAUUUCUUUACUGAUAAAAUAGAUAGCAUCAGAAAUACAAUAACAAAUGUAAAUUCUACAGCGUCUAAUACUUUAGUUUCAUCCAUCGCACCCAAAGAUAAACUGCAGUGCUUUACAACUAUAGGACAGGAAGAGCUUAAUAAACUUAUCACUGCAUCUAAACCAACAACAUGUUUAUUAGAUCCUGUACCCACUAAAUUACUUCAAGAGUUGUUACCUGUAGCUGAAGAACCGCUUCUCAAUAUUAUUAACGCGUCGUUAUCUCUAGGUCAUGUCCCAAAACCAUUCAAGCUGGCGGUUAUUAAGCCUCUUAUCAAAAAACCACAACUAGAUCCUAGUGAACUGGAAAAUUACAGACCCAUUUCAAAUCUUCCAUUUAUGUUUAAAAUUUUAGAAAAAGUUGUGUCUGCUCAAUUGUGCUCCUUCCUGCAAAAAAAAUUAUCUCUAUUAAGAAUUUCAGUCGGGUUUCAGGCUCCAUCAUAG
ensembl:lncRNA